rnacentral:tRNA from 1 species
GCGGGGAUAGCUUAAUUGUCAGAGCACGACUACCCAAAGUCGAGGUGUGAGUUAGACCCUCACUCCCUGCUCCA